rnacentral:rRNA from 1 species
UACGGGGGGGGCAAGCGUUGUUCGGAAUUACUGGGCGUAAAGGGCUUGUAGGUGGCCAACUAAGUCAGACGUGAAAUCCCACGGCUUAACCGGGGAACUGCGUCUGAUACUGGAUGGCUUGAGUGUGGGAGAGGGUGGCGGAAUUCCCCAAGUAGAGGUGAAAUUCGUAGAUAUGGGGAGGAACACCGGUGGCGAAGGCGGCCACCUGGACGGUAACUGACGCUGAGACGCGAAAGCGUGGGGAGCAAACAGG